GCUACUUUUGAGCCUGGUCAUAUGAGUCUCCAGUCAGAACUAACUAGGCUGCUAGCUAAAGCCUGAAUUUCACCUUUGAGUUGUGAGCUCUCCUUCGGGGAAGAAAAUCUGACAGCCCUCUAAAGUAGAUAAGUUCAAGAAAUAUAUGCAAUAAGGAUCCCAAGAAUGGAAAUAACCCAACCUCAUGGAAUGCAGGGAGGCAACUGAUGACAACAAUGACCUGGAUGACUGAGAAUCUCCAUAGUCACAAAAUAAUCCCGUGAGUAACCAAGUAAACCCUAAAACAUGAAUAAACUCCGCUGCCAUUAUAUUGAUAGAUUGGAGACAAAGUAGAACCAUUAAGUGCAUACAUCCAAAAGAAGCAACUGUCCACUGCUCCAAGCUGGAACAUGAAGACUGCAAGCCAAAGGGAAUAAAAACACUUGAGUGUUAUUUUCGCUCUUUUUACAGUGAGAAGUAUGCAUAUUUCAAAAAGACAUGGAAAGAUGGGAAGUAAAAGCCCUUAUUUUCUUUCAGGCAAGCGAACUGGUAGUUUUCAUGCACAUAUCUUUUAUUUGUUUGUUUGCUUAUUUAUUUAAACAUAUAAGGAAAGUGAAAGAGAUAUGGAUGUGGGUAAGGAGGCCUCCCAAAUUUUAUUGCAAGCCAUAUUGUGUUCUUAAUUCAAGACAUAAUACAUUAAUUUUACAUUAAAAUGUUCUUAUUGUUCGGUAUUCUGAGAGAUGCAGCACUUCCAAAUAUAUUGUAUGUGUUUGGAAUUGUGUGUGUGUGUGUGUGUGUGUGUGUGUAUAAUUUCUUCCAAGUACAUACAGUACCUAACCAUCCUUUGCUAGUCUACUCUUAGACCUGUUUCCUUUAUAACAUUCCCCGUUCGCUUUAAUAUCAAUUGUAUUUACUAUUAUUAAGCCACUGUGGGGAAUUUGUUUUCUGCAUCAAGUCAC